rnacentral:rRNA from 1 species
CCUACGGGAGGCAGCAGUGGGGAAUCUUGCGCAAUGGGCGAAAGCCUGACGCAGCCAUGCCGCGUGAAUGAUGAAGGUCUUAGGAUUGUAAAAUUCUUUCACCGGGGACGAUAAUGACGGUACCCGGAGAAGAAGCCCCGGCUAACUUCGUGCCAGCAGCCGCGGUAAUACGAAGGGGGCUAGCGUUGCUCGGAAUUACUGGGCGUAAAGGGAGCGUAGGCGGAUAGUUUAGUCAGAGGUGAAAGCCCAGGGCUCAACCUUGGAAUUGCCUUUGAUACUGGCUAUCUUGAGUACGGAAGAGGUAUGUGGAACUCCGAGUGUAGAGGUGAAAUUCGUAGAUAUUCGGAAGAACACCAGUGGCGAAGGCGACAUACUGGUCCGUUACUGACGCUGAGGCUCGAAAGCGUGGGGAGCAAACAGGAUUAGAUACCCUGGUAGUCCACGCUGUAAACGAUGAGUGCUAGUUGUCGGCAUGCAUGCAUGUCGGUGACGCAGCUACGACAUAAGACACUCCGCCGUCGGGAGGUACGGUCGCGAGAAUAAACUACGAAGAAGUAGACGGCGUGAGACGUGCCGAACGGACGACGACGAGGGAGGUAGG